GAUGAACGCUGGCGGCGUGCUUAACACAUGCAAGUCGAACGAAGCAUUUGCGACAGAUUUUUUCUGAAUGAAGUUGCUUAUGACUGAGCGGCGGACGGGUGAGUAACGCGUGGGUAACCGGCCUUGUACUGGGGGAUAGCAGCUGGAAACAGCUGGUAAUACCGCAUAAGCGCACAAUGUUGCAUUACAUGGUGUGAAAAACUCCGGUGGUAUAAGAUGGACCCGCGUCUGAUUAGCUAGUUGGUGAGAUAACAGCCCACCAAGGCGACGAUCCGUAGCCGACCUGAGAGGGUGACCGGCCACAUUGGGACUGAGACACGGCCCAGACUCCUACGGGAGGCAGCAGUGGGGAAUAUUGGACAAUGGAGGAAACUCUGAUGCAGCGACGCCGCGUGAGUGAAGAAGUAAUUCGUUAUGUAAAGCUCUAUCAGCAGGGAAGAUAGUGACGGUACCCGACUAAGAAGCUCCGGCUAAAUACGUG
rnacentral:rRNA from 1 species